UGAGGAAUUUUGCGCAAUGGGAGCAAUCCUGACGCAGCAACGCCGCGUGGGUGAUGAAGGCCUUCGGGUCGUAAAGCCCUGUCAGGUGGGAAGAAUGUCACGGGACUGAAAAGGUUCCGGGAGUGACGGUACCACCAGAGGAAGCACCGGCUAACUACGUGCAAGCAGCCGCGGUAAUACGGAGGGUGCAAGCGUUAUUCGGAAUUACUGGGCGUAAAGCGCGUGUAGGCGGUCCUGCAAGUCUGAUGUGAAAGCCCCGGGCUUAACCCGGGAAGUGCAUUGGAAACUGUGGGACUUGAGUACUGGAGAGGAUGGUGGAACUCCCGGUGUAGAGGUGAAAUUCGUAGAGAUCGGUAGGAAUAUCAGUGGCGAAGGCGCCCAUCUGGACGGUAACUGACGGUGAGACGCUAAAGCGUUGGGAGCAAACA
rnacentral:rRNA from 1 species